CCCAACACCAGCAUAAACAUAACAAAACCCUAAAAUUUAUCAUCAUGUUAUUCCUAAAAUCGAUUGAUAACAAAACCUUAGACCUCAAUCUGGACCCAAACUCCUAACCCUAGAAAUCGAGGAGAAAUUUGGCCUCGGCAAAUCCACCGACUGAAAAUCUCUUCUGCCAUUAAACUCGCAAAUCCACCGGCGAAUCUCCGCAAAUCUCGGCAGAUCAAAUCCACCAUCGACUGAAAAUCUCUUCUGGAAGGAGAGAAAUAGAGGAAACUAUGUGGUGGGUCUGCCAUUAAACUCUCAAAUCUCCGCAAAUCUCGGCAGAUCGAUUUCUCUGUCAACCCUAGAUCUGAUAACGGCGGUAGUGAGUCGGAGAUUGAAGAUCUAGACUCGGUGACC
rnacentral:lncRNA from 1 species